rnacentral:rRNA from 1 species
UACAGAGGUCCCAAGCGUUGUUCGGAUUCAUUGGGCGUAAAGGGUGUGUAGGUGGCGCGCUAAGUCGGGUGUGAAAUUUUGGAGCUUAACUCCGAAACUGCAUUCGAUACUGGCGUGCUUGAGGACUGGAGAGGAGACUGGAAUUCAUGGUGUAGCAGUGAAAUGCGUAGAGAUCAUGAGGAAGACCAGUGGCGAAGGCGGGUCUCUGGACAGUUCCUGACACUGAGACACGAAGGCCAGGGGAGCAAACGGG